UUACAACUAGAACUUUUGCACAAAGGAUCAAUGAGCAUAAAAAAGAUAUUAUGGCAGGCAGGACAACGAAAGCAUUGGCAGAAGAAGCAUAUAGUAAGAACAUCCAAGUGGGACUGAGUCAAAAUAAUAAAACCAAUCGCCAUAAUAUCACAGGCAUUAACACAGGAAACCAUAGAAAUAACCACUGGAAAGGAGGACCAAUGUCUUAUAAACGAUGGACUGGCAAUGGAAUUGCCAAUCCCUGGAAGUACAUAUUAGAAGAAAAUAUGAAGUACAGAAGCAUACAAUUAUAGGAAGAUCAGCAAGGACGACGUUUUUUUUUUAAAGUUAAGACUAUAUAUAGUUACUUGCCAGAUAUAAUGAUAUGUUUUUAUGAGCAUAGGUUACUUGAAUUAUUGACUAGCAUACAUUUGAUUAUAUAUAGCAUCUCUUGUGCUUUAUUUACCUAUUGAUUUAUUUUAUCUUAUCUUAG
rnacentral:lncRNA from 1 species